AUGGGGUUCCGUGAGUUCCGCUUGUUCAACCAAGCAUUGCUGGCACGCCAAGCUUGGCGAAUCCUCUCUAACCCGGACAGUCUGUGCGCACAAGUGACGAAAGCUAAAUAUUUUCCAUCUUGUCUCCUUGUGGACACUGUUUUCCCGUCCAACUCUUCACCAACUUGGCAAGCGGUGGCGCAUGGGCCGGAGCUUCUGAAGCAUGGUAUUUUAUGGCGAGUAGGCAAUUGGCAAUCCAUUCGUAUAUGGAGAGAUCGUUGGGUCCCGAACGGUGGCUCUGGCAAGCCUAUCACCGUGCAGGGGCGAUGCCGUCUGAGAAGAGUUUCCGAGCUGCUGGAUGAACGUGGUGCAUGGCAUAUGGACCUUUUACAACAAUAUUUCAAUCCGGUAGAUGUCGAGCAGAUUGUUAAAAUUCGGACUUGUCCACGGCUCGAAGAGGAUGUCCUUGCUUGGGAACCGAAGCGUAAUGGUAUCUUCACGGUUCGGAGUGCGUACCGGCUUGCACUUGAUGAAUGUCUUCAUCCAUCUUCAGUCACGGCGAGCAGGGCACCGGACGGGCGACGAGCCGUUUGGGGUGUUUUAUGGAGGUGCCCUGCUCCUCCUAAGGUGUGUGUGUUUGCUUGGCGGGUGGUGACGAACUGUCUGGCCACAUGGACUAAUAAACAUGCUCGUAGCCUUGAAGUAUCUAACUUGUGUCCUCAUGAGAAGCCAUCAGCACUUGGAUGGGAGGCACCGCCGGCCGGCUGGGCUGCGCUCAACAUCGACGGGUCCUUUUCUGCCAAAGACGGAACUGCAGGAGCUGGCAUGGUCCUCAGGGAUGAACAUGGAGAUAUUAUUUUUUCGUCUUGCCGUGAGUUAAGGCAGUGUGCAUCAUCACUAGAAUCUGAACUUGCUGCAUGUUCAGAAGGCAUCUCCCUGGCUACCCAGUGGUCUGAGCUGCCUUUUGUGAUUCAAACGGACUGCGCAGAAGUGGUAAAGCUAAUUGAAGGAGGUACUGGCGACCGAUCGGAGCAUAUGAUGUUGAUUCGCGAGAUUACUUUGCGUCUUCGGGAACAUGGUGAAUUCUUAGUUAAGCUUGUGAGGCGUGAACAAAACGUUGUUAGUCAUUUUUUAGCGAACUUUGGUCGAAUAAAGAAGCACACUGCGGUGUGGCUUCAUCCUGGGCCGGCCGAGGUUUCGGACCUAUGUAAUGCAGACAUGGCUGCCACUUAA
rnacentral:rRNA from 1 species